CUUCAUAAUAGGGGCUAGAUGUGUGAAGCCUGGCUUUAAUUUUUGCUUAGUAGGAUCAAUGUCAUAUUUAUUUAUUGGACAUAACCUAGGUUUCACUCUUUGAACAUUAUUUUAAGGGAUAAAAAGUUACUUGAGAGUCAUGUGAGGAGUUGAGCGUGGAGAUAGCACCAUAAGCCAAACAUUUAUGCUAAUUUUAUGUAAAUUAUGUGCUAUGAUCCACGCCCCGCCCCCACAUGCGAUUAAAAAGUUGAUUUUUAGUGUGCUAAAGCACAUGCUAAAACAGAUGCUAAAUUUUAAAAAGGCAAGGGUCUUUUAAAAUGCUUGAUGUCUGUGAGGUUGACAGGAGAAAUAUUAAAUAAAUAUACAUACACUGUUUAAGGAUUCUGUGUUUUCUUUCUCAUAGGAACCACUCGUUUUGACUAUUAUUUUAUCACUCUUUGUGAAACUUCACAAUGUUCGGGUAAGUAUUUCAUAAUUUCAUUUAGAAAAAUUUAAAAGAAAUUUCUUUGUAAAUCACACCUUUUUUUUUCUUUUUAAAGGAGGACAUUGUGAAUGAUAUUACAGCUGAACACAUUUCUAUUUGGCCAUCUUCCAUUCCCAAACAUCGUGUUGCUUUGUCGCCCAGGCUGGAGUGCAGUGGUGAGGUCUCAGCUCACUGCAACCUACGCCUGCAAGGUUCAAGCGAUUCUCAUGCCUCAGCCUGCCAAGUAUCUGGGAUUACAGCCUCCAGUCUGUGGACUUUGAAGCUGUGGCAAUAACAGUGAAAGAGCUAGUUCGAUAUACACUCAGUAUAAAUCCAAAUAACCAUUCUUGGUUAAUUAUCCAGGCAGAUAUUUACUUUGCAACGAAUCAGUAUUCAGCAGCUCUUCACUAUUACCUCCAGGCAGGAGCUGUGUGUUCUGACUUCUUUAACAAGGCUGUGCCCCCUGAUGUUUAUACAGACCAGGUAAUAAAACGAAUGAUAAAAUGUUGUUCUUUGC
rnacentral:sRNA from 1 species